rnacentral:tRNA from 1 species
AGGAUAAAAGUUUAAAACAUUUAAUUUGCAAUUAAAAUAUAUUGAUUCUAAUCAAUUUAUCUUA